rnacentral:rRNA from 1 species
GUCCUUAGUUACCAGCACGUAAUGGUGGGCACUCUAAGGAGACUGCCGGUGACAAACCGGAGGAAGGUGGGGAUGACGUCAAGUCAUCAUGGCCCUUACGGCCUGGGCUACACACGUGCUACAAUGGUCGGUACAGAGGGUUGCCAAGCCGCGAGGUGGAGCUAAUCCCAUAAAACCGAUCGUAGUCCGGAUCGCAGUCUGCAACUCGACUGCGUGAAGUCGGAAUCGCUAGUAAUCGCGAAUCAGAAUGUCGCGGUGAAUACGUUCCCGGGCCUUGUACACACCGCCCGUCACACCAUGGGAGUGGGUUGCACCAGAAGUAGCUAGUCUAACCUUCGGGAGGACGGUUACCACGGUGUGAUUCAUGACUGGGGUGAAGUCGUAACAAGUUAAAC